rnacentral:rRNA from 1 species
UACGUAUGGUGCAAGCGUUAUCCGGAUUUACUGGGUGUAAAGGGAGCGCAGGCGGCACGGCAAGCCUGAUGUGAAAGCCCGCGGCCCAACCGCGGGACUGCAUUGGGAACUACCGGGCUGGAGUGCCGGAGAGGUAGGCGGCAUUCCUAGUGUAGCGGUGAAAUGCGUAGAUAUUAGGAGGAACACCAGUGGCGAAGGCGGCUUACUGGACUGUAACUGACGUUGAGGCUCGAAAGCGUGGGGAGCAAACAGG